rnacentral:lncRNA from 1 species
AAUUACUUUAAUACCCUUUUUAAAAAUCUGACUAACCUACUUACAAUUAAAUAGUGAAAACGUUACGCCAAUCUAACGGUUUCAUAAGAAGGGCUGCCUUCUUGGGACAAACACUAUUACUCAUUCGUAUGAAUGGAUGUGCCCUUUCGGGAAAAAUCCAAAUAGUAGGAUCUCAGGUAAGGUAGUUUUCUAUUUUUUCUUUUUCAUUGCUUGCUUUUUCUUCCUUCUCUUUGAAGGAAAGCUGAAGUAUACGUCUCUAAGACAUGUAUCUCAAUUUUGCUCCCUUUGUUACUAAUUUUUUAUAUAUUGUUGCCUUUCGCCCAUAUAUUUUUUAAAUAAUCAAUUUUUCAAAGAUUUAUGUAAAUUAUGAUUUUUUUUUUCUUGGGUUUCCCAAGUAUCUUCGCAGACAUCUUCACAAAAAUAAUGCAAUAGUGACUGGACUUUAUGCAUGCGACUAAACCUACAAAAAGGUAGAUCAAAAUUUUAUGCAGAAAAUAACCAAGAAAAAAAGAUUUUAUAUCAUAACAUGAAACUUCCACAAGAUGAAAUAAUUUUAAUAUCAAGAAAAAUCAAUAACAUGUUGUUUGUCCUCAUCCUUUUUGUUCAUAGUUAGGGUACAGAAAAGGGGAUAACAGUGUCAAAUGAAUCGGCAUUUGCAUUUCCUUUUUAUUGCAACUAUAUCCAACUAUUUUUGAUUUGGUGUAAUGACCGAUUUUACCUGUUCCUCAUUUAAUAUUAUUUUUAUGGCAGAUAAAGAAGAUGGAAAAACGAAGACAAAGAAUCACAAGUCAAUGAAAAAAAGACAAAAAGGUAUGCCAUCUUUUUGCGUUGCAUAUUGUCGUCCUUCUUUUCUUAUGAAAAUUAAAUUAUGUAGGCAUUUUCUGUCAUUAAGUGUGUCAUUCUAUAGGUUAUUGGUUUUAUUUUUGUCAUUUAUUGUUGCAAGUGUUAAGCACUGAUUGUUUUGAGUUCACAACAGCUGAAUAAAUUAAGAAAAUAUUAAAAUUUUACAUUUAGUUAGAAUACUAUUUAUUGCUUUGCAUCCAAUGCAAAACCAUUUGCACACUUCUUAUAGGCUAUUUGCAUCAUUUUUUUGCACAACUGGUAAUACUUCUAUUUUUAAGUUAUUUAAAUAUACUAACUAUAUAAUAAUGGUUACUACCAAAUGCGAGUUUUAACUUGUUUAAAAUUGUUUAAGAUUAUUAAUAUUACUACAAGAAGUUAGGGCUAUGACAACAUUUAAAAAAUGACUUAUGUAAUAAAUGUCGGAAAAGGAUUAAAUUUUUGACAUUUUUUAAGAAAUGUCGUAAAUUAAGUGACAUUUAAUAAUAAAUGACAAAAUUAUUGACACUUUUAAUUAAAGUGUCGUAAUAUUUGUCUGACUUUUACAGCAAAUGAAGGAAACUUAUUUACGUUUAUAAUAUUAAUUCUGACAAAUUGAAACUAAAAAAUUACGUGUAUAUUACAGAAGGCCGCCUAUCUAAUGUUCUUAAUUCUCCCAAAAGUCCUACUCGUGAUCUCUCCCCUUUCCUCAAACACAAAAUCACGAUUGCCAUCUUUUUAUAUUCGCGAAAUUGUCGAGGCGUCGUGAAACUACAGCAUCCUAAUGAGAUUUUUCUUCUGGACUCGCUUCAUAUACCUUUCAAGCGUUCCAAUCAAUUCAUCUCGAAGUUCAUAGUCGCGCUCGAUUAGCGGAUAAGCCAAUUCCAGCAUGACGCAGAGAAUCGAAAGGGGAGAUGACCUGGUUGGUGUUAGACUAUUCUAGAAUUCUAAACAUUACCAAAAUUUAGGCCUCCUUUCAUACACCAUCGGCUGUCAUAUCUAAUCUGUUCUCUAGUCAAUAAUACCAUUGUUGAUAAUUCUCGAUAUUUUAGUCAAGGUUACUAAGUUUCGGGUAAGUUCUAUUCACCUAUGAUUCGGUGCUAUUCUCGAUUGAAAUUCUGGUUGUCUGCCUUUAAAAUGGUUGCAAACUUUUGUUCCAUCCUAUUCUAUUCCUACCAACUGUUUGAUUAAAUGCUUUAGAGGAUUAAUUAACAUUUAUUGGAUUUGCACUUUCGUAGCUAAUCAUUUUUCUCAUAACUAGAGAGAAACGAAUUUAUUUUUAUCAGUAUAGCAGCUUGAUUAUAAUCCUUUUACAUUUCUCAAAAAAAGGAAUAUAAUUCUUUUGUAUAGAUGACAUUCUCAUAACUACUUGAGGUUGUAUAAGUACACUUCAUGAUUUGUCUACCAUUCCAUUCUUCUUCAUAUGCUACGUGUGACACUAGUUGAGGCUAUCUAAGUACUGCCCCUUGACACUAUGUUAACGAUACCUGUUGCACUUGCAACAGCAGAGCUUCAUUAUGAAGCACCGAGCUGGAAAUUGUAGUACUACAUCUCUUGGUAAGAAGUUAAACAAAUCAAAUAUCAAAAGUCAGCCCUUUUGCUGCAUCUUUUCAUGUUGAAAUAAUUUUGUAUGGUACUGAUUAGAUUAUUGACAUUGCUUGGGUGUUCAAUUUGUUCUUACAACUACAGAACCUGAAAUUCAUUUACCACAUACGACAUACUGAUGCACCAGUCGAUGCAAAAGGUAAUUAAUCAAAUUAUAGGACAAUCUUUGCAUCAAUAGAUAGUUUAUUUAAUUAUUUAUUCCCGACACCUACUCUAUAUUGAUCCAGUGAAAUGAUACUCUAUAAUCUAAUUAUUUGUUUCACUGUAAAAGACCUAAGACUAAGAUAUAAUGUAACACUGCAGACUAAUAUUUGUAAUAUUGUUUCUCUUUGCUUUAGCUUACAGAAAGCAUUAUCCAUCAUUCUUGGAAUAAUGAAAUAUGAUGGUUAGAAAAAGAUUGCUCAAGAUGUGUAUCCACCUAAACGGCUGGCUGAGAAGGGAAUAUCAUUUGUGAAAAACUUCCUUCAGCUGUAUGUAACUCCAUCUCUAUUAAUGGAAUGAUCUUUUCCAUAAGCUAAUGAUGCUGAAUUUAUACAUUUCUCUUGAGCUUCUAAUAUUGAAUCGUUUUUAUGUUUUCUUGCAGAAGGUAGGAACCACAUGACUUAUCUAUACUUCUUCAAGAUAGUGUACGAGGUACAAUCAUGUUAUUCUUUCCGCUACUUAGUAGUUUCCUAAAUUACCUUAGUGAUGAUUCCAUUCUUUUUUUGUUUCAGUUCUUGGAACAACACCUUAGAGAAUAUGAGCAACUAAUAUAAAGGAAUCCUCCACUUGGGAAAGCAUGGACACUAAAGCUUUUCCAUCAAAAGGACGAUACUAAAGCUAUGACUGGGUAGAUUGUUAUGGAAGUUUAAGGGAAAAGUUAUGUAAUUGUAUGUGAAGUAACUCUGUAUUUGAUUCAAAUUGUUUGUAAUAUACUGAAAGUAUUGAAAUAAGAAUAGAUGUUAUUGUGAAUAAAUUGUUG